AGUGAACGCUGGCGGUAGGCCUAAUACAUGCAAGUCGAACGGACGCACGAUAAGCUCUCGCCUUUACGGGUGGCGAGUGGCGGGUGGGUGAGAAGUACAUAGGAAUCUACUUUUUCGGGGGGGAUAUCGUGGGGCAACUUCUGAUAACACAGAAUAUGACCAACGGGAGAAAGCAACGGUUCUACGCAGCUUUCGCGUUUGUUUGAGCCGAUGUCGGAUUAGCUAGUUGGCGGGGUAAGGGCCCACCAAGGCGACGAUACGUAGCUGGUCUGAGAGGAUGAUCGGCCACACUGGAACUGAGACACGGUCCAGACUCCUACGGGAGGCAGCAGUAGGGAAUAUUGGACAAUGGGCGCAAGCCUGACGCAGCAAUACCGCGUGGGUGAAGAAGGUCUUCGGAUUGUAAAGCCCUUUUGUUGGGAAAGAAAAGCUGCAUGUUAAAAUCCCGCUGUUCUGACGGUACCCAAAGAGUAAGCACCGGCUAACUUCGUG
rnacentral:rRNA from 1 species